GCAACAAAGGAGCGGCCGGUGUGCAUCGCUCCAUUGGAUCCAUCGCAGGUGCGAGAUCGAGCAAGUCGAUGUGUGCGCUGGGAUCAGCCGGAGGAGCGGGAUCCAGGUCCAGCCGAUGCAGUCCAGUACGUGAGGGAGGGUUGGACUGUUGGACCGGCCAGUAGCGCUACCACAACCUCGCCCCCAUGCUCCGCCGCGGCGCCGCCGCCGUAGUAAGUCUACGACAUCACUAGCACGGUGAGAGAGAUCUUCUCUUCUCCUCGGUACUUCAUUUAGCGAUAUUCUCUGAAUAUGUGCCGGAUGAGUUGAUCGUCUGCUUUCUGUUCACGUUAAUCUGUUUGAUUUUUUCUGUGUGGGCGUCAGGACUCUUACAUCCGAGCAAUGAAGAGGUGGGUUGACGAGCUUCAAAGACUAGGGAACCCAGGUUUGGUAAUGGCGUUAGUGGGCAACAAGGUUGAUUUAGAAAACAAGAGGUAGGUUGGCACACAGGAGGCGCUGGAGAUGUCAGUGAAGAUGGCGACCUAGCCCAGGCGAUACGGCGUACGGCUCUGCGGGAUUGGAAUGAUUCAGGCCUCCGGACCGCACGCCAAUUCACGUUCAUGCCAAUCUCGUCUUGCUGUUCGUAUGUUCGUGAGCGAAACUGUUCCGCCGGGAAUUGAAGGCAAACAAUUACUCUUCAGUUUCUCUUCAGGCAUUCAUGUUGGAUGAUGUCUCUCUCUCGCCGGCGUUGAUUAAUGGAUGUCUGCCUCUCUGUUUUCCCAUCCUUCAGCUGCCGUGUAUAUAUGCUUCCUCGCUAACCUUUUUCAAUCCGGCGACAAAACAUCCAUCAACAAUUCAACAUGGUGCUCUGCUAGGCGUUGUUCAUACUGGCUUAUGCUCAAUUGAUUCAGGCAGAUCUUGGAGACUGGAUGUCGCAUUUUUUUAUUUCAGGAAUUCUCAGCUCAUAUCUCCAAUGGUUUCUAGAGCAGGUAAUUACUUCAGGUGCACUGCUAGACCUUAUCUUUUACCAUCCAUUUUUUGUAUAGUGUAUGACUGCUUAGAUUACGUGUUUCUAAGUUAGGAUAUUUACUGUUGUUGGACAGAUUACUUAGAGUUAUACAAAAAAAAGCGCAAAAGUGUUACCAUGCUGUUCUAGAAGGGUGUAAAACCUCAACAUCUUCUUCUUUUAUCCAUACAUGAGGAAAGCCGAAUAAUUAUGUGGACAAUUUCUUUAUCCAUACAUGAGGAAAGCCAAAUAAUUAUGUGGAAAAUUUCUUUAUCCAUAAAUGAGGGAAGCCGAAUUAUUAUGUGGACAAUUUCUUUAUCUAUACAUUUGGAAAGCCAAAUAAUUAUGUGGACAAUUUCUUUAUACAUACAUGAGGAAAGCCAAAUAAUUAUGUCGACAUUUUUUCCUUAAAUGCAUGGUGCAACAUGUAAAUGAAAUCGCUCGGCCCAUAUUAGAUAAAAAUAACAUGAAUGCUUAAUUCAGGACCAUUGCGUGAUGCCACAGCCGGAUACAGUUGUCUCUCAGCAAAGAGAAUACAAAUGCCCUUAUAGGUUAUCUGGUUACCAAAGAUAAUGCUUACCUGCUAUUCAUGUACAUAAUAAUCAACUGAAAUUGAUUCCUUCUGUAUUACCCUUCUGCCUAAUCAGCUACGUAUCAUGGUCGUUCACAUCUAACGACACCUUAUUAUACAAUGGAAUGCCUAUUGCUUUGGUUUCUUUAUACGCUAACCAUCAACUCUACUUGUGUGUUGUUUAAUUGGGAGUUGGGUACGGUACUGGAGAAUAUACAAGGAGAGAUUUGAUUCCUCAGGUCACAACCAGCACCUCCACCCCUUAUAAUUUUGUUUUCUAAAAUUACUUCUUAACUUCUAUUAUUCUGCUUACAUAUGAUGUAGCCUUUCAAAAUAUGUUUUAUUUGGUCGAUUGGCUUUUCCAACUAUUGGUGAUUAUAGGUCAAGUUUUGUGUAUGAGCCUAAUGCCAACCCUGUAGGAUUUGUUCUUUAAAUGAUGGUUAGCUUUGGUGCCAGAGGGUUCACAGUGUGAUGCUAAGUAUUAUGAAAACAAGAUGCCCAGUUGCAGUAACCAGCAAGUCACCUCUCUACUACUUAUGUCAGGUUUUGGAGGUUAUAAGGAGCUUUCUUUCUUGUUUGAUCAUACCAUGUACUUUGUGUGAUGAUUGCAAUAUCUUCUUGUGGAUCUUACAUAACAAGAAAAGAUAUCAACUAACAGCUUGGUUCCAUGGUUAUGUACACUUAGAAAUACUUAGUUACCUAGGAUCUUCCUGUUUACUCAAUGCAAAAUUUUAUCUUAUGGCA